GUGAGGAAUAUUGGUCAAUGGGCGCAAGCCUGAACCAGCCAUCCCGCGUGCAGGAAGACGGCCCUAUGGGUUGUAAACUGCUUUUCCGGGGGGAGAAUUUUUCCGUCGUGACGGGAAUUGACGGUACCCCGGGAAUAAGCAUCGGCUAACUCCGUGCCAGCAGCCGCGGUAAUACGGAGGAUGCGAGCGUUAUCCGGAUUUAUUGGGUUUAAAGGGUGCGUAGGCGGAAUGAUAAGUCAGUGGUGAAAACCUGCAGCUUAACUGUAGACUUGCCGUUGAUACUGUCAGUCUUGAGUGUGGUCAAGGUAGGCGGAAUGUGUAAUGUAGCGGUGAAAUGCUUAGAUAUUACACAGAACACCGAUUGCGAAGGCAGCUUACUGGGCCAUUACUGACGCUGAUGCACGAAAGCGUGGGGAUCGAACAGGAUUAGAAACCCUGGUAGUCC
rnacentral:rRNA from 1 species